rnacentral:rRNA from 1 species
GGCUCAGGAUGAACGCUGGCGGCGUGCCUAACACAUGCAAGUCGAACGGAGGCUUUCGGGCCUUAGUGGCGCACGGGUGAGUAACACGUGGCUGACCUACCUCAGAGUAGGGGAUAACGUUCCGAAAGGAAUGCUAAUACCCUAUAAGCUCCCGACGGUUAGAGGGUUGGGAGAAAAGUUCAGGCGCUUUGAGAGGGGGCUGCGGGCCAUCAGCUAGUUGGUGUGGUAACGGCGCACCAAGGCGACGACGGCUAGGGGGCCUGAGAGGGUGACCCCCCACACUGGAACUGAGAGACGGUCCAGACUCCUACGGGAGGCAGCAGUGAGGAAUAUUGCACAAUGGGCGCAAGCCUGAUGCAGCGACGCCGCGUGGGUGAUGAAGGCUUUCGGGUCGUAAAGCCCUUUUCUAGGUGACGAGAAUGGACGGUAGCCUAGGAAUAAGUGUCGGCUAACUACGUGCCAGCAGCCGCGGUAAAACGUAGGACACAAGCGUUAUCCGGAGUUACUGGGCGUAAAGGGCGUGUAGGCGGAUCGGUAAGUCUACUCUGAAAGCUCCUGGCUAAACUGGGAGAGGCGAGUGGAGACUGUCGGUCUAGAGUGAGGAAGAGGAAAGUGGAAUUCCGCGUGUAGUGGUGAAAUGCGUAGAGAUGCGGAGGAACACCAGUGGCGAAAGCGGCUUUCUGGUCCUUAACUGACGCUGAGGCGCGAAAGCAUGGGGAGCGAACGGGAUUAGAAACCCCGGUAGUCCAUGCCGUAAACGAUGUUCACUAAACGUUCGUUUCCCGCGAGGGAAGUGGGUGUUGAAGCUAACGCAGUAAGUGAACCGCCUGGGGAGUACGGUCG